AGGUAUCCAUAUUAUCACAAUGGAUACAUAGUACGGUUACCGGCUUUGGCCAUAAUGAAAUUAGUUGGUUCCGACAUUUCAUCAAACACUUGUUAGGUGGAGAAAGUCUGAAAUCAAUUUUCAAUUGAUCAGAAAGAAAAUAGCAUUAAGAACUCCUAAAACAGAAAGGAAUCAUGCAUAUAAACACUUAGCUAGCUAAAGAAAAGAGGAAUCCACCUAAACCUAACCCAUCCUCAAGAACUCUGAAGAAGACUACUCAAGAACAAUGUAGAACAUCAUAGAACAAAACCCUGAAA
rnacentral:sRNA from 1 species